GAUGAACGCUAGCUACAGGCUUAACACAUGCAAGUCGAGGGGAAACGAUAGAGAAAGCUUGCUUUUUCUAGGCGUCGACCGGCGCACGGGUGAGUAACGCGUAUCCAACCUGCCCAUCACUUGGGGAUAACCUUGCGAAAGUAAGACUAAUACCCAAUGACGUCUCUAGAGGACAUCUGAAAGAGAUUAAAAGAUUUAUCGGUGAUGGAUGGGGAUGCGUCUGAUUAGCUUGUUGGCGGGGUAACGGCCCACCAAGGCGACGAUCAGUAGGGGUUCUGAGAGGAAGGUCCCCCANAUUGGAACUGAGACACGGUCCAAAACUCCUACGGGAGGCAGCAGUGAGGAAUAUUGGUCAAUGGACGAGAGUCUGAACCAGCCAAGUAGCGUGCAGGAUGACGGCCCUAUGGGUUGUAAAACUGCUUUUAAUAAGGGGAAUAAAAGUGAGUCUCGUGAGACUUUUUGCAUGUACCUUGUGAAUAAGGACCGGCUAAUUCCGUGCCAGCA
rnacentral:rRNA from 1 species